GAAAGAAGAAUGUGAGAGAAAUAAACAAUAUGUGAAUUAAUCUAAGAAAAUACUAAAAUACUAAGUACACUGAAGAAAGCCGAAGCACACAACACUUAUUCACCAGCAGCUACGACAAAUGAUUGAGCAAUGUAGGAAAUCAAAUUAAUGUAAAUUAACGCAACAAAUUCUAGGCAUUAGAAUUCGCAAUGAUUGGGGUAUCUAGGGAAUGGUAUGACGUCACGGACAUUCUCUACGCCGGUAACCAUCAUGAUUAGUCUUUCAAAUCCUAAACCAAACCCUGAAUGUGGAACAGAACCAUACUUUCUUAGUUCAUUAUACCACCAAUAGGGAGCUGGAUCCAUAUUUCUGCUCUUUAUUGCGUUCUCUAAUUUUUCAAUGUCAUCUUCUCUCUGAGAACCACCGAUAACCUCUCCGAUUUUUGGGACUAGGAUAUCCAUUGCUGCAACUGUAUUUCCGUCUUCAUUCAAUUUCAUAUAAAAAGACUUGAUAUCUUUAGGAUAGUUGUAGAUUAUGCAAGGUCUUUUUUCGAGUACAUCUGUAAUAUACUUUUCAUGUUCUGAACCCAAAUCCAUGCCCCAUGAGACAGGAACAGUAAAUUCCUUAUCAUGAGGUUUAAGCAUCUCAAUUGCUUCGGUAUAGGAAAUUCUUGCAAAUUCUUCUUUGCAAAUAACCUUUAACCUUUCUACAAGUCCAUUUUCUAUAUUUUUGUCAAGAUAUAAUAAAUCGGGCAUAUUGUUAAUUAAAACGUAUUCUACAGUGUAUUUAAGAAGUCCUUCUCCAAGUUUCAUGUUAUCACUAAGAUCAGCAAAUGCCAUUUCAGGCUCGAUCAUCCAAAAUUCAGCAAGAUGUCUUGUUGUGUGAGAAUUUUCCGCUCUGAAAGUUGGUCCAAAUGUAUAAACAUCAGACAUAGAGCAUGCAAAGUUCUCUAAAGCAAGUUGUCCAGAAACAGUCAAAUAAGAAGCCUUUCCAAAGAAAUCCUUUUUAUAGUCAACUGCCAUAUCUUGGCUUCCCUCAAUCUUUGAUGCAGGGAUGUUGGAAAUGUUGUUUUUAGAUUCAGGUGGUAAAACUGUAGUUACUUGAAACAUUUCUCCUGCUCCUUCACAGUCUGCUGCAGUAAUAAUUGGAGUGUGAAUGUACAUAAAACCGUUCUUUUGGAAAUAUUCAUGAAUUGCAAUAGCAAGAGAAUUUCUGAUUCUCAUAACUGAGCUAAAGAACUGACUUCUUGGACGCAAGUGGGCAACUUCCCUCAAGAAUUCUUUUGAAUGAUGCUUUUUUGCAAGUGGGUAUUUUGAGGCAUCACACAAUCCGCAAAUUUUGAGCUCAUCAUCGCCUGUAUUCAAAAGUAACUCUACUGACUGUCCCUGAGCUGGUGACUUUACUAUUGUACCAGUUAUUUUAAAUGAACAUCCUGCUGUCGCCUUUAAACCCUCUUCAAACCCUUUAACAGUCUUCUCUACUACACAUUGUAAGUUGCUUGAUGUUGAACCAUCAUUCAGAGAUAUGAAAAGCAAAGUGUCAGAGCAUUGCUUUCUAACUGUUCUUGCCCAUCCUCCAACUGUAACCUUCUUUCCAAUAUAAGAGACCCCACCAUCCUCGCCAUCCAAAAUGGAGGCUAUCCUCAGUCUUCCAGUUACUGAAUAUUCAGUAACAAAUUUUUUUUCUGGUUUAAUCAUUUUUAUUUUCUGUUUCUAUGCUUGUAAAAAUGCUUAAUAAGCAAAGAUAUUACAUUCCCGCCCAACAAUUGACUAUUUGUACUGUCAUUCGUCUCCUGAAUUAUGCCCCACUUUUGGCGGUAACUUUGGAAGUGUGAAAAUUUACGAAUAAAAUAAAUAAAAGAUGUAAAUUAAAAUAUAUAAUUAUAGUUAACUAGUGUGCUCAUACUUGUU
rnacentral:antisense_RNA from 1 species